GAUACUUAGUGGGAGGAAACUGCGCAGAAGGCAGAAAUGACUGAAAUGACGUCGAGAUGACAACACAUUUAAAAAUGAGGAAUUGAGGAGUGAGUGACCGGCUGUUUUGCUGAGCUGCUUGCCAGAAGUGCUUAAAGGACUGGCACAGUUACCUCCCAUGAACCUUCUCUUCUAUCAAGUCACAGCUGAGGAUGGUGGGGAGCACAGAAUUGCCUUCCCUCUCCCAGGAACGAGGACCAGGACAUAAAUUGCCAGACACUGAUCACAGACAAAGGACCAACAUUUUCUGAAGGACCUCAUCCAAUGGACACCGUGAGUCUUCAGUGAGCUCUGCAUCAGGCCUCUAUCAUGCUCCAGCUUAUUUCACAGGACCUAUGGCUGACCCAAGUCCUCGGCUUCCCAACCUCAGCUUUCUCAAACAAAAAACAUAAUGGAGAUAGGGAAGAAUCUCAGAAAAGUGGAAAACUCAGUUGUCACCCUGAUUAUGGAUGGAGAAGAACCUGUGAAGUUCAGGCUGAAAAAUGGGUGGAGUGUCC
rnacentral:lncRNA from 1 species